rnacentral:misc_RNA from 1 species
GGAAAUUAUUGAAUCUCUCCCGAACCGACUUCCUAAAUCGGCUAAUUUUUGCUUUCUUCCUUCAGUUCAAAUUCAAUCUAUGCAGUUACUGCGAUGGCUCCAAAGUGUUGAAUGAAAACGGCGACCACGCUGAGGCAGAACGCAGAACGGCAAUGAAGAGCUGGACUGCUGGCUUCAAAGUGGCUGCGCCCUAAGCCGUUUUUAAGUUUUGUAGAAGGAAAUAGGUAAGCCUCUCUGUUUUACGGCGAUUGGUGGGCCCCGCUCAACUCCAUAAUAUGGAAGACUAGC